GGGUGGAUACGCUCCUUCAGGUAUACAGGGCAAAAAAAGUUUAGGGCUUUAAAGGUCAGCACCAGCACUUUGAAUUGUGCUUGGAAACAUUUCCAUUGAAUUCACUGGGAUUAAAUGUCCUCCUCUUUAGAUGGAACGGGCACCUGGUAUUGAAAGGACUGCUUAUGCUUGAUUGGACCAUGUCGUCCAACACUCUUUUCCCAACAGAGCCAAGCAAGUAUUUCUGGGAAGCUUCCAAACAGAGCAAGAUGGCAAUAUUACACCCACCCACCCCACCUCGAAUGUCUCUGCUACAUUAAGCACAUUAAAGUGGAACACCAAACAUGAAAAUUUCUGUGAAAUCAUUGGAUCCAGGACUCUCACCCACCUCCCUUACGCUUGAGGCAUUACACAUAACUGAAGGAGCUUGUUUUAAUGACAGGAGAAAAGUGAAGGAAAAAUAGUCCAGUCCUGCCAAAAUCAUUGGGAACAUGCCAACCAGUUUAUUGGGGGAAAGCGAGAGAGUUGAAUAGCAUCUAUAUGCAAUCAUUAACGGGAAAAUGUAUGAGUUCCAGUUCAGCAAGGGAGAUUGCCGUUGUUGCUGAUCUACAUCUGAGUGCCAUUGAUUUAAUGAAUGCAUCUGUUGGGAGGCUCAUGCAUGGCCAAAUGGGACUAUUAAUUGCAUUCAUCAGUAUAAGGCCACUGGUUUUUCUAGUAUAACCAACAUGAUUCCAAAAAAUAAAGAAACACAAAUAAUUGUGGCACCUUAAAGCGUAGCAAGUUUAUUGCAGAGUGAGUUUAUUUCAUAGACAAAAGCCACUUCCUCAAAUGCAAGAAGUGCAUCGCAGACAUAAUGCUGCAGUGAAAGGCCACACUGGUGUUGAAAAAAGAGGAAAAAAGUUGGUGGUCCACUAAGACUAAGCACGCAUACAAUUUUAGAAAUAAAAAAACCAGGCAGGCAAAUUAGAUGAAUGAACCUUUUUUUUAUUAUGAUUUCAUUUUAAGGCACACAAAUGUUCCAGGUGAUUAAUGUUUGUGGUGUAGUAGGUGUAUUUAAUAAUUUCUCAAUGAGAAAUUUAUGACUGCAAAGAAAGAAGAUUGCAAAAUAUCACUAAGGCUUCAGUUAGUCAUUUCUGGCAGCUUUUGAAAAUCACCACUAUUCAUUAAGCAAUAAUGUUAGAGGGUAUGUGAAAAAGCUUGCUGUGAUUAGACUGAAAAUAGGAAAGGGUGAUGUCCAAUUCUUCUGGCGUGCAUGAAGUAGAGAGGGAAUGAAAUAUUCCUAUGAGAUGGGGGUAAACACCCAAAAAACCUCAAGCCUAAGCAUGUCUGUGUGGAAGUAAAUCCUAUGGAUGUUAAUGGAUCCUUGCUCCAAAUCAAUGUGCUGAGGACUGCAGUUUGGGGCUGCAAUCCUAUGCACACUGAUCUGAGAGUAAGCCCGACAGAAAACAAGGGGACUUCUGAGCAGACAUGCAUAGGAUUGUACUGUCAAUGUUAUUGUCUAGGACUGAUUCACACAACCGUGUUCUCUUAUGGCAUCAAUAUAGUAGCAUGGAGCUCAUCUGAUGAUAAAAGAGCUACCUGGAAUCUCCAUGCCUUCGCCAGUUGUGUGAACAGACCUUUAAAAACCGGUGAAGAUAUUGAGCCUUCGUAGUUUUUAGACAGCUUGGUGAGAUUUUUAAGUCUACCAUAUUAAAGGCUUCACUAACCACAUAAUCUAACUCUAAUUAUUAGGGCUUUCGUGUAAUUAAGAGAAAUCUUGGCUGAUAUAAUUGUAUGAGUUUUACUCACAGUGGCAUACAUUUGCAUAUGUAAAGAAUAAGAAUACUAAAGAAGAAAAGUACUUCCUUUAGUUAGAUUGUGUGUGUGUGUGUGUGUGUG